rnacentral:rRNA from 2 species
GUUUGAUCCUGGCUCAGGAUGAACGCUGGCGGCGUGCCUAAUACAUGCAAGUCGAGCGAACUGAUUAGAAGCUUGCUUCUAUGACGUUAGCGGCGGACGGGUGAGUAACACGUGGGCAACCUGCCUGUAAGACUGGGAUAACUUCAGGAAACCGAAGCUAAUACCGGAUAGGAUCUUCUCCUUCAUGGGAGAUGAUUGAAAGAUGGUUUCGGCUAUCACUUAUAGAUGGGCCCGCGGUGCAUUAGCUAGUUGGUGAGGUAACGGCUCACCAAGGCAACGAUGCAUAGCCGACCUGAGAGGGUGAUCGGCCACACUGGGACUGAGACACGGCCCAGACUCCUGCGGGAGGCAGCAGUAGGGAAUCUUCCGCAAUGGACGAAAGUCUGACGGAGCAACGCCGCGUGAGUGAUGAAGGCUUUCGGGUCGUAAAACUCUGUUGUUAGGGAAGAACAAGUACGAGAGUAACUGCUCGUACCUUGACGGUACCUAACCAGAAAGCCACGGCUAACUACGUGCCAGCAGCCGCGGUAAUACGUAGGUGGCAAGCGUUAUCCGGAAUUAUUGGGCGUAAAGCGCGCGCAGGCGGUUUCUUAAGUCUGAUGUGAAAGCCCACGGCUCAACCGUGGAGGGUCAUUGGAAACUGGGGGAACUUGAGUGCAGAAGAGAAAAGCGGAAUUCCACGUGUAGCGGUGAAAUGCGUAGAGAUGUGGAGGAACACCAGUGGCGAAGGCGGCUUUUUGGUCUGUAACUGACGCUGAGGCGCGAAAGCGUGGGGAGCAAACAGGAUUAGAUACCCUGGUAGUCCACGCCGUAAACGAUGAGUGCUAAGUGUUAGAGGGUUUGCCGCCCUUUAGUGCUGCAGCUA